rnacentral:rRNA from 1 species
GACGAACGCUGGCGGCGUGCUUAACACAUGCAAGUCGAACGGAAAGGCCCUGCUUGCAGGGUGCUCGAGUGGCGAACGGGUGAGUAACACGUGGGUGAUCUGCCCCUUACUUUGGGAUAAGCCUGGGAAACUGGGUCUAAUACUGGAUAGGACCAUGCUGUAGGUGGUGUGGUGGAAAGAUUAGUUUCGGUAAGGGAUGAGCUCGCGGCCUAUCAGCUUGUUGGUGGGGUAAUGGCCUACCAAGGCGUCGACGGGUAGCCGGCCUGAGAGGGUGGACGGCCACAUUGGGACUGAGAUACGGCCCAGACUCCUACGGGAGGCAGCAGUGGGGAAUAUUGCACAAUGGGCGCAAGCCUGAUGCAGCGACGCCGUGUGGGGGAUGACGGCCUUCGGGUUGUAAACUCCUUUCAGCCAUGACGAAGCCCUUGUGGUGACGGUAGUGGUAGAAGAAGCACCGGCUAACUACGUG